ensembl:lncRNA
UAUAUAUAUAUAUAUAUAUAUACUUCUUUUUUUUUUUUAAUAUGAUGACUAGCAAAAGCAUAGGUAGAAAGAUGUUAAACUCAAAACUGUCAAACUCUUAAACACUGGGCAAUUCUUUGUGAGCAGUUCUCCAUGGUUUAACCAUGUGCUUUUAGAAAAGCUUCAUUAUUUAUAGUGUAUAAAGGAAAUCUUUCUAUAACCUGUAUUUAUCUAAUAUUGGGGCAGAGGGGGAAUUUUAUUUUUCAGGUAAAGUUUUCUGAAGACCAUUGAAAGAGCUUUAGCUUUUGAUGAGACUCUAUUAAUUGAAAACAUGUGUGACUUUAUUGAUCCCAUACUUGAUCAUCUGCUUGGAAGACAUGCAGUUAAAAAGGGAAAAUGUACCAAGACUGAAGACAAAAAAUGUGAAUUCAACAAGAAUUUUCAUCUCAUCCUUCACACUAAUCUGGCUAACCCUCACUUGCAAGCCAGAACUGCCUGUUCAGACCACCUUCAUUAAUUUCACUGUCACCAGGGACAGGCUGGAAGACCAGCUGUUGCCUGAGGUUGUUAAUGCUGAAAGGCAAGACUCACAGAAAACAUAAGUGCUCAGCCAGCUGCAACCACAGAAGAGCAUAUCAUUUCCCAAGGAAUACUAAAAAAUUCAAUUAAAAUUACUGGUGAACCUCCUACAAGGUGGCUGGCUAAUUUCCAUGCUGCUCCCUAUGGUUUUGACCUGGUAAAAGUAAGCUACAUAUUUUUUUUUUUCCUUUUUAUGCUUUAAUUACUCCUUCCCCUGCAUGGACAAGUGGCAGCAUUGACGACCAUUCUGUAGGAGACCAGGACUUGGGGCUGUUGUGAUUCCAAAAUAACCUGAGAGCUGCAGGGGCCAGCCCUCUGUGUCCUGCACUGCCUCUGUGUUUGCCAUCAGUGUUGGGCAGGAGGGAAAGUGUAGCAAUGACACAAAUAGGUACCAUUCAAUAUAGACGUGCACAGGUAUGCUUACACAGACAGAAAAAGCAUUUAUUGCACCAGCUUUAGCCAGUGGUGCACUUAUGGAAAAUAUAUGUACAUGGUCUGAAGUCAGAGCUCUUUCAUUCCAUGGUACUUGAUUAUUUUGCUCUGCUCUAAACUUGGGUUGGCCAAGUGCAUGGUCAUGCAUAUAAAUGCAUAUAAAUCCACAGAGUGGAUUUAUACACCUGGCUGUUCAGGCAAUGGCUCAGUACCCUGUGUAUGGGCUCCUGCAGUCAGGCAUAAAGAAAGGAAUUAAAGAGCAAGGGCUAUGUGCUGUUUGUUUUGUCUUUUGCUCUUUCCCUGUGUAAGGCUCUGCUUGGUGGGUGGAAAGAGGAAGGAGGAGAAAGACAUGAGAAUGUGGAGAGCAAGCACAUCACAGGGAGGUGGGAGCCUCCUUCCCUCCAGAUCCCUGGCUAUCCCUGUCUGCCACCCCAGGAACUUGUAGAAAGAUCUUCAAGCCCAGUGUGAGUCAGCUUCCCUGCAGCAGUGGCAGUGCUGGAGCAGUCAGCUUGCUCACAUCAGCAAAGCAGACCACGAUGAGGGCAGCUGGAAUUGCAC